rnacentral:rRNA from 1 species
CAGCAGCCGCGGUAAUACGUAGGUGGCAAGCGUUGUCCGGGAAUUAUUGGGCGUAAAAGCGCAUGUAGGCGGUAAUUUAAGUCUGUCGUGAAAACUGCGGGGGCUCAGCCCCGUAUGGCGAUGGAAACUGGGUUACUUGAGUGCAGGAGAGGAAAGGGGAACUCCCAGUGUAGCGGUGAAAUGCGUAGAUAUUGGGAAGAACACCGGUGGCGAAGGCGCCUUUCUGGACUGUGUCUGACGCUGUGAUGCGAAAGCCAGGGUAGCGAACGGGAUUAGAUACCCCGGUAGUCCUGGCCGUAAACGAUGGGUACUAGGUGUGGGAGGUAUCGACCCCUUCCGUGCCGGAGUUAACACAAUAAGUAUCCCACCUGGGGAGUACGGUCGCAAG